rfam:Neurospora tetrasperma FGSC 2509 unplaced genomic scaffold NETTE2scaffold_3, whole genome shotgun sequence.
UCCUCUUCAACGCUGCGUUUCUAUGCACCAACGGAGAGUUCUGCCUCGGCAUUCCUUUCAUCAUGGCAUAUGAGAAAUUCGGAGAAAUCGCUUCACCUUCAGCCACCCCUCUGAUCGCGUCAGGGUCGGCUCACUCCGGUGGCCUGGCUUUGUCAAGAUUGAGGAGCUGCUGCCGGCAACGGUCUCACGCGAUACUGCGUGUGUAAUUGGCAUCAGAAAAGCAGGCGGCUAUCCUAGGCGGGCAAGCUGACGGUGUAGUCGCCCUUUGGGAGAGCCAUUACGAAGCUUGUGGGUAGAAUCACUUGAGUGCAAUACGCAGCGUGCGGUGUCUGUCUUCUUCUUGGUAGACCUGUACAAUCCGAUUCCGAUUACUCUGUUGAGGA